CCUACGGGAGGCAGCAGUAGGGAAUCUUGCACAAUGGGCGAAAGCCUGAUGGAGCAACGCCGCGUGGGUGAAGAAGGUCUUCGGAUCGUAAAACCCUGUUGUUAGAGAAGAAAGUGCGGGAGAGUAACUGUUCACGAUUCGACGGUAUCUAACCAGAAAGCCACGGCUAACUACGUGCCAGCAGCCGCGGUAAUACGUAGGGGGCAAGCGUUAUCCGGAUUUAUUGGGCGUAAAGGGAACGCAGGCGGUCUUUUAAGUCUGAUGUGAAAGCCUUCGGCUUAACCGGAGUAGUGCAUUGGAAACUGGUAGACUUGAGUUCAGGAGAGGUGAGUGGAACUCCAUGUGUAGCGGUGAAAUGCGUAGAGAUAUGGAAGAACACCAGUGGCGAAGGCGGCUCUCUGGUCUGUAACUGACGCUGAGGUUCGAAAGCGUGGGUAGCAAACAGGAUUAGAUACCCUAGUAGUC
rnacentral:rRNA from 1 species